AGCUCCAACCAACGCAGACGAUUGAUUGGACCUUUUCGCUGUGUGCCUCAUCUGAGCUCGAGCAGAUAGAUGGCGUAGCGACAUUGCUAACCGAAUCCUGAUGCUUAGCCCUCCCCUCAUUGUUUUACUGAAUAAGAGGAUACAAUACUACAUGUAAUAUUUGCUCACGGGAAACUGAAAGCGAAGAGCAUAGACUCUAACUGAGCUGUUUUGUUGUUGAACGAGGUAUUGUAGGACGGAUAAGCAAAUAUCAAAAGUCGUUGGCUUGGAUUUUGGCUCGUUUUAUGAGCAAGAAGAGAAGAGAGGAGCAGCAAACUUGACUCAGGAAUGACGGACAUUGCUGCAGUGUCUCCACAUUUAUAUAGGUCUGAUUGAGCGGAGCGGUGAGCUACUCAGUGCGUCGACGCUCGAACAGAAUGAUCCAGCAGGGUGACUAAGAGGAGGAAGAAGGGGGGAGAGGAUGGGUGUGAAUGCCUCCAGCUACCCUCACUCGUGCUCCCCUCGAUUCGGGGGUAACCCACAGACCCAGCAGACCUUCAUAGGCGCCUCCUAUGCACCACAGGGUUAUGGUGGUGAGUCCAAGCUCUACAGCCUAGAACCCUGAAAAACCUCAGGACAAGAAGAAAAAGAGCCCCGGUUUGGCCACCCUCAAGAGGAGGUUCAUUAAGCGACUCAAGUCCAGUCUGUCGGCCGAUCAUACGCGGCAGAUGCGCGAACUCCUCUCAGGGUGGGAUGUGCGUGACGUCAACGCCCUGGUGGAGGAGUAUGAGGGCACGGCAGAAUCCAGAGUGUUAACCAGGUCGCACAUACCUGUUCACCUGCCUCGGAUGACGUUAGCUCGCUAAUGAUACGACAACAAAGUUGAAGAAAAAAAGGCCUGUCGAAAAAGCUCCUCUCCAGAAAAGCCGUGCUUUUAGCUUAUUUCAUACCCAUCUCAAGUAAUCCUCUGUAAAUCUCGCUCAAAUGGUAAAAGGAUAAUUUCAUAAAAGCUACGUCUUUUAUAUUGUGGAUGUGCUAGCAAGCAGGAAUAUUCAAACCACGCAAACGCAUUGCACCAACUAAACAGGUUUCCAUGGAGACAGCAUGCCACAGCAGCUCUGAGCGGUUGGAACGUCAGACCGUUGAGUCGAAGUUCAUCAUCGAAAAUGGAUUCAGAACAGCACAACUAUCGAAUGGUUUUGACCAUCGUUUUGUAAUUGAUUACAUUCACUUACAGCAUAAUAUUCUAAAUAUGGCUAAUUCCGGGUAAACCUUCGGCUUAGAAGUUUUACUCAUUGUGUAAACUUGUUAACCAGUGCCUAGCACAGUAAUUCAGGCUAACACAUUUAACACAGUGUGGUAACUUGGGCACUGCAUUUUUUUAACCACACUAAAACAUUGCAAAAGUGAAAACUACAUUAAUACUAUGUCUAAAUGAACCACAUUUACAGAGUAAAAAUGAAAAAGAAAAGUAAAGUUGCCACCCUUUUUCAUUUAUUUAAAGCUGGCAAAUGAAAAUUGCCACAUUUACCUUGUCAACAACUGCAGAUAUUGCAGUCAUUAAAGUCACCAUGAAAGCCCUCAUAAUCUUUAAUUAACUUCCCUCUCUCUUGCAUCAACAUUUCUCUUUACUGGUGCAAGGGUCACUCAAAUGAGAUCACAGCAAUAACAAAUCACAACAAUCCAAUCAAUUCCCAAUGCACAAAAUCAUGUCCUGCCCUAUGUUGUUCUUUUUUCUUGUUCGAGAAGCUGUUUUACUCAUAUUCAUCACAGUAGGGAAGAAAAGACUAUCGCAACUUCCGUUUCAACUGCAGUCUAGUCCAUUUUGCAGUACAGCUGUUAAAACUGCAGGUGUAUUAUAAAAAAUUAAUUGCAGCAUUUGACUGAACUAUAGUUAUAAUGUAUCGAUAUAAACUUGUAUGUCAUUCAACUAUAAAAUGUAGUGUCCUAAACUGCAGUUGCACUACACUGAACUUCUUUGCACUGCAGCGAAUGCAGUUAAAUUAUGGGGAAGUCAUAUCGGAACUGCAACUGUUACACUAUACAAUGGACUUCAAGUACGCUUUAUUGAAAUAGUUGUACUGUAUACAGCAGUACUAAAUCAUUUUAGCAAUUUUUUUUAUUGUGUAUAGCACAGCAUCAUAUUACUACACAAAACUACAACCGUAUGGAUUAAAGUAAUGCAAUGUCAUUGCAAUUCAUUUUUGUAAAGGAUAAAUAUUUUGCUGUCAGGCUCAUCAGACUCAGUAUUUAUGUAUUGCUGUAAAACAGCCAUAAUUGGGCUCUUCCAAGUGAUGAUACAAAUUAAUUGGCACAAGUUCUAAGUGGUAAAGUGUCAGUCUUCAGCAUCCAAAAUUGAGUCAGUGAAAUGUCUACUGAAUUAUCAUUAACUCUGUGUUGUAGAACUCUUGCAAGAGUCUGGAUAUUUCACAGACCUAUUUAUAAGCACAUGUAAAAGAAAUAAAUGUUACUUUGACCUACA